GACAUUCACCGCUGUCGGUGGGUU
rnacentral:miRNA from 1 species